CGCCAUGAAAGGAAGAGACGCCAGGAUGGACUGGGAUGGAAAAAUCCACUGGCCACAGAAGUAAUGGAACCACAGGGCUGGGGGAGAACUUGAGUGCACCUAUCAAAAUGGGGCUCAUUUCAGAGCUGACAAAAGGCUGAGAGAAUCUUGAGAGGAAGAGAAGGGGGAGGAGGAAGAGGAGAGGACGGGUGAUAGGGGCCAGCAGUACGCAGAGAACCACGAAAGCAGG
rnacentral:lncRNA from 10 species